rnacentral:piRNA from 1 species
UGGGUGUACCAGAAGAAUCGGAUCACA